GACGAACGCUGGCGGCGUGCCUAAUACAUGCCAGUAGAACGCUGAAGGAGGAGCUUGCUCUUCUGGAUGAGUUGCGCACGGGUGAGUAACGCGCAGGUAACCUGCCUCGUAGCGGGGGAUAACUAUUGGAAACGAUAGCUAAUAUCGCAUAAGAGUUGAUGUUGCAUGACAUUUGCUUAAAAGGUGCAAUUUCAUUACUACCAGAUGGACCUGCGUUGGAUUAGUUAGUUGGUGGGGUCACGGCUCACCACGGCGACGAUACAUAGUCGGCCUGGGAGGGGGGUCGGCCACACGGGGACUGAGGCACGGCCCAAGCUUCUGCGGGGGGCAGCCGUAGGGAAACUUCGGCAAUGGAGGGAAGGCUGGCCGGGCAACGCCGCGGGGGUGGAGAAGGUUUUCGGGACGUAAAGAUCUGUUGUAAAGGAAGAACGAGUGUGAGAGUGGAAAGUUCACACUGUGACGGUAUCUUACCAGAAAGGGACGGCUAACUACGUG
rnacentral:rRNA from 1 species